rnacentral:lncRNA from 1 species
CCCACCUCCGCCUCUCCACGCUUCCUGCUUCCACCAUGAAGCCGCUGGGUUCAAAGAAGAAAAUUCGCCACAAGCACAGAAUUCUUUCAAGUCCCAGUUUUUAAAUUCAUGUGCACGCUGCCUUCUGCUCGGUAAUGUAUUCAUGUUGAUUUUAAUGUGUAAUGUUUGACACUAUUUACCAGUGAGUAAAACCGACAUGCCUGGAGGCUGUGCCCCUUUAUCCUGGAUCUUCCGGGAGGCCCUGGCAUGAGGCCUGACAGCCCCUGGGUAAAUCCAAAGGGAUGCAGACCAGAGCUAAUGCAGAGACCCCAUGGUGUCCACAAGAAACUGAGCUUCUUUCUUUUUUCUCUACUUUUGUCAGUAUUUGGCUUUUAUCUUCUUGGACCCAAUAUAUACUGGGCACAGCAUCUUUUUUUU